rnacentral:rRNA from 1 species
CGCCUCUUGCAUGAUAAAUAUAAGAGGUCCCGCCUGCCCUGUGACUAUGUUUAACGGCCGCGGUAUUUUGACCGUGCAAAGGUAGCACAAUCACUUGUCUUUUAAAUAGAGACCUGUAUGAACGGCACAACGAGGGCUUAACUGUCUCCUUUCCUUUGUCAAUGAAAUUGAUCUCCCCGUGCAGAAGCGGGGAUACUAACAUAAGACGAGAAGACCCCGUGGAGCUUUAGAUAAGCAGCUGAUUUGUGUUAAUAACCUCCUAAUAAAGAAUCAAACUAAACAAAACUCUCCUGAAUGUCUUCGGUUGGGGCGACCGCGGGGUAAAAUAAACCCCCCGUGAGGAAUAAAAUAACCCUUUUAGCCAAGAGCGCCAGCUCUAAGCACCAAAAUAUUUGGCCAUAUGAUCCGGCAAGCCGAUCAACGAACCAAGUUACCCCGGGGAUAACAGCGCAAUCCUCUUCAAGAGUCCCUAUCGACAAGAGGGUUUACGACCUCGAUGUUGGAUCAGGACAUCCUAAUGGUGCAGCAGCUAUUAAGGGUUCGUUU